rnacentral:lncRNA from 10 species
GGGACCCAGGCCACCCUUCCCAGCAUCCACUGAAAGGAAGGCAUGGGCCCGGGGAGGUUAGAAUUUGACUUUGCAAACUGGCCCCCACAGUCCCAAAGGGCUCUCUGAGCUGGAUCAUUCUUUAGCUCAGCAGUGCUCUUCACUUGUUAAACUUCAUGAGCCUUUUGAAAAUCUAAUGAAAUCUCACACACACACACACACACACACAAACCUCUCCCCAGAAAAUAAAAGGCUUGUAAAUUUUUACACACACACACACAGACAAGAAAACAACGUUUCACACUUCCAGAAGGUUCAGAGAUGACCUUGAAGUCUCUAGGUUUCCACCAGAAACCCCUAGGAGUCCGUGAAAGCUGGGAUGUGAAGCCCUCCUCUAAACCAUGUGUUUCUGUAAUCAACGUGGAUUUUCAUAUAUUAGAUUUACACAAAAUUAGGCCCACCUCUAUUUACUAUUUAAUGCCCGUGGGCAGUGGUGUGCACAAUUCAUCAUGAGCUACGCAAAGGGUGUGUUUGCGGUCUGUGAAUACAUCUGGGCUUUGACAGCCAGGGAUUUUCCCGGCACUGGGAUUUGUCCAGUUCCUAAAUUGCGUGAGAGCCCUGCUUAGUUCUCGAGGCCAGAGGUGGGUUGGAUAUGGGGAGAUGAGGUCAGAAGGAGGCAGGAGCAGAGCCAGAUUCCCAGGCAACCUUCCGCAGAUGGAAAGGCGGAGGAGGCAAAGCCAAGAUGUGUCAACUCCAGGGAGCACCAAAGCCAACACCCCACCCCACUCUGCUGCG